UGGGGAAUAUUGCACAAUGGGCGCAAGCCUGAUGCAGCAACGCCGCGUGAGGGACGACGGCCUUCGGGUUGUAAACCUCUUUUAGCAGGGAAGAAGCGAAAGUGACGGUACCUGCAGAAAAAGCGCCGGCUAACUACGUGCCAGCAGCCGCGGUAAUACGUAGGGCGCAAGCGUUAUCCGGAAUUAUUGGGCGUAAAGAGCUCGUAGGCGGUUUGUCGCGUCUGCUGUGAAAUCCGGAGGCUCAACCUCCGGCCUGCAGUGGGUACGGGCAGACUAGAGUGCGGUAGGGGAGAUUGGAAUUCCUGGUGUAGCGGUGGAAUGCGCAGAUAUCAGGAUGAACACCGAUGGCGAAGGCAGAUCUCUGGGCCGUAACUGACGCUGAGGAGCGAAAGGGUGGGGAGCAAACA
rnacentral:rRNA from 1 species